rnacentral:lncRNA from 1 species
CAACAAAGCAAGUAUAACAAUAUACGAUAGUAAAACCUAUGCUACUGUGGUCUGUAUUUUGACAGUAUCAAGACAAGUGACAGUACUUCCAGAGUAUGCUUGACAACAAGAGGCCAAAUUCACAGGAAACAAGAAACCAGAAAAUUUCAAACAUGUUGGGUUUUCCACGUAGCUGGCCUGAUCAGAGUCUGGACCACCAAGAAACAAGCUAACCAUUUCUCACUCAUCCAGCUUGCCAGAAAAACAGCUGACAGUUCUUACGAGUCUAAAUCAAGAAAGGGAGUGUCAGGGAAAGGCUACACAAAUCCCCUCCAGGGCUGCUGGACACUGGACUUUGUCUGAAGCACAGUGGGAAGGCCUCUGUGAUGUUCUCUGACUACUGGAGUUUCUGAGAAUGAGGUCGCUAUGGAGUCUCCAUGACCUGGGAGGAUUAAUCACUGGAAGGAACCUGAAAACAAGCUGAACCUUCAGUCCAGGAGAAUUUUGACCCAGACCAUUGUCUUUUUGCUUCAUUCAGUUCUUAAAAAAACAAAAUCACUUACUAUCCCCAUACAGCUACAAUACAGUUGCCUUCUCUGUUGUAAUUUUUCUAUUCCUUUGAGGUGGGCAUUUUCAACUCAACUACUUCAGGUUCGUAUUAGCUAGUACACAUUAUAUAAAUUUGCAUGUUUUCAUCCCUCUGUUGCAUGCUUUUUGUCUGUCUGUUGUCAGACAAAAUAUUG